CCCAAUCCGCACCCCGCGUUCCCCAGCCAAUCCUCCUCGCCUCGUCCCACUCCCGCACCAGCCACCACCCAAACCCUAGCCCACUUUUCCCUCGAUCCCCAGAACCUCUCCCGCCUCUAUCCCUCCUCCUCGCGUCACCACGGCCUCCACCCCGGAGCCUCGCCGCCGCCUGAUAAUACUCCUCCACCACGCUAGCCCCUCCACCUCACCUUCCUUCUUUUUGUCAUCUGCGCCCGUCAUUGAUGCCUGGUUCCAGAUCGGGCGCGGGUUAGGCGAGGUCGAUGGUGGGGUGAAUGGGCAGGGGAGGCGGGCGACAAGGGCAGGCAACAGUCGGCCCGUCGCGAUGUGGUCAAGCUACAGGGAAGAGGGAGGAGGUCGGCGACAGGGUGAAGGAGCAGGCCGGCCCUCAUGGAGGCAGCGCUAUCAGCCAGCUAGGGAGGCGGUCCGGCUCGCCUCUGCUAUGCCGUGAGCAGCGGCGCUACCUCGGCCUCGAGCCUCACCUCCUCUGCCAAUCUCCUGCCGCGAGACAGUGCCUUCCCACGUUCUCAAUCUGGCGUUACCGUGCAUGGUGGUUUCAGAUCGGGCGCAGGUCGCAGCCAUGGAAGUAAGGGGCAUGGUGGUUUCUGUGAUGUGUAUGGAGGAGCGGUGGAAGGUGAGGAUGACGGACAGGUGGGAAGGCGCAACAAGACUGGAGCUGCAACGCUCGCAUCAUGGUGGCGUGGAGCCGUCCAUCACUACCCAUCGACUCCAGUUUAGAUAUGUACAACAGUCGCCCCGUCGCGAUGUGGUGAAACUACAGGGAAGAGGGAGGAGGCCGGCGACAGGGUGAAGGAGCAGGCCGGCCCUCAUGGAGGCAGCGCUACCAGCUAGCUAGGGAGGCGGUCCGGCUCGCCUCUGCUAUGCCGUGAGCGGCAGCGCUACCUCUGCCUCCAGCCUCACCUCCUCUGCCAACCAUGGGAAAAUUUAGGGGAGACCCAAGGCGAGCUUCCCUCUGUUGCAUGCACUCAUGAUCUCUAAAUAUUUCUGUAGCCUAAAUGCCUAUGUACCAUGUAAGCAAGCCCAACCUAAUGCACAUCAUCAGCUUGAUGAAUGACCAAAUGGUUUGUUUUUCUUGCCAUAUAGACCAUUGACGGGUGUGCAGGAGCCCUUCUAAUUGGUGCUCUAUGUGUGUUUUCUUUUCUUUUGUUGCAGAAUAAUAAUUCGAGUGGAUGGCAAUGCGCCUUGUUGUUUAGCGGUAUGAUGGUCGGUGAUAGUAUGUUCUAUAUAUAUUGCAAGGAUCAUAAGAUGCCUUUACACAUGAUUGUGUGAUGCUCAGAAACAUUUUGCACAGUAGAAACUUCUUGUGAAGCUUGAUUUUAUUCAGAGCCAUAUGAUUUUUUUAUAGAAACAUGUGCAGAGUAAAAUGGACACAUCUUCUGGUACAUCUGAGCACCGACGACCACAAUGGGAUGGAUCAAGCAGCCAAGACUCAGAGUGUGGUCGGGCGGCGCCAUGGGGCAGAUCUGUGCGGUGCAAGGGGCGGUAGAUGUGAAACUGAAGCUUCCCCGCUAACUUCGAAGCAGUCAAUUGAGCAGAUGGACAUGACGAGUGAGGAUUGGUGCUGCCGCCCCUGGUAGGAGCCCAAUGUCCUAAUCGAACUACUGUCAUGGAGAGGGCAAUACGUGGAUUUGCUUCAGAUAUUGGAGACAACGCCAUUGUGCCGAAGCUCGGAACAAUCUUCGAUACAUUGGUGAAGCAUACGAUUUUUACAAUCUGUAUUUAUGGGAGAAAGGAUUUGGCAUUCGAUAUGGUAAAAGCUGUCUGAAUGUCGAGAGGACGUGGAAAUCUAUUGUGGAUAAUACUGGUCUUGCCGGCGUUAGUGCCCUACUCUGAUAAGGCUGCUGCAGUCUGAACCAUUCAUUGUAUCGCACGUAUGCGCAGACGAACACUGACGAUCGCACAAGCACAUCAACGUGUACAGCAGGGAUUUGAUGAAGAAUUUGAGGCAGAACAAUGUGAACCUUGCUAAAGUGCACAACAUUAGGCAGUUUCCUUGGGUCGAUGGAGAAUGUGCCUUUCACAAAAAGAGCUUCAAGGAGCUUGUGUGGCAAAAUAAGCCGCGAGCAACCGGCUGAUGAUGUUAGUUAAACGAUGGAGGUGUUUGCGGAGCUUGGUUCAAAGGAUCCUCACUUCACAUAUCAUGUGCAGGCCGAUAAGGAGGGAAGGAUAAACGCACUCAUGUGGGCAAAUGGGGACAGUAGGCUGGUGCAAAAAAGACUGUAGCUUAUUCUCAAAUUUUCUGUCUCUAAUACUGAAUUUGGUGUGUACCGAUAAAUCAUGUAGCGCGUGAGAUCCAUCAUGCAGUUUAACUGCUAAUCCCAAUUAUGUUAUGCAUGCCCUGAAGCUGAUGAAUUUGUGUUCUCCUAUACUGAAAUGUCAAAUUGAUUGUGUGUA